GAGUGACCCGAUUUUCCAAGUGCGUCCGUCACCCCUUUCUUUUACUCAGAAAGGGAACUCCCUGACCCCUUGCGCUUCCCAAGUGAGGCAAUGCCUCACCCUGCUUCGGCUCGCGCACGGUGCGCGCACCCACUGACCUGCGCCCACUGUCUGGCACUCCGUAGUGAGAUGAACCCGCUACCUCAGAUGGAAAUGCAGAAAUCACCUGUCUUCUGCCUCGCUCACGCUGGGAGCUGUAGACGGAAGCUGUUCCUAUUCGGCCAUCUUGGCUCCUUCCCCGGGGAAACACAUAUAAUGUUUUAAAAGUAUUCUGAUCUCUGGAUUCUUAACUUGGAGGCCAUGGAUAGGCUUAAAACUCAUCCAAAAUGUUUUGUGUGCUUUUGUUUUUUUGUAGAGGAAGUUUCCAAAACUUUCUUCUAAUUCUCAAAGAGAUAGUAGAACAAUUAAUCUAAUCUCAAUCUCUAAAUUCACCUGUGAGAAAAAUGAGACCUGGAUCUGUUGCUAGAUCUAUGAACAGACCAACUAUGAGACCUUGGCCAGCACUCAGCCUUCUGCUGGGAGGAAGGGUCAGUGCUGCCUAGAGAAAAGAGCACUAGACUCAGAGAAAGCAAGGACAAAGCACAGAGCUUGUGGGAGAAACCAUCACGGACUCAGACUUCUCCUGGCACUCAGGUGUCUGCUUUGCUUUCUCUUCACUCCUCCUUGUUGUAUUACCCCAUCUCCCACUGCAGAAAUUUACUUUACUUUUUGAUAUACAAGAUACUGAGACUGCAUCUGUCAAAUUUUCACUGCCAAAAUUAUUUUGCAAAACUCUACUCAGUUUUAUAUACUCGUGUGGUUGUUUCUCUUUGUUUUUCACUAACAUUGAAAGCAAAUCUACAGGAAAUACUUUUUUUUGCUUGGAAGAGGAAUAGAGAUUAUAAUCUAAUUUGGUGGAAAGACUGCUGCCUGUAUCCAACUCUACAUACAUUUGAGUCCAGUGCUAUGCAAAUAUGAUAACGAAAACUCAGAGAGGCUUGUUGAUAUGCUGUAUUUCAAUGGGAGAUUGUCAAGAUUGUCAUACAGAAGUUACAGAUGCUCCUCAAAUUAUGAUGGGGUUAUGUACCAAUAAACACAUUGCAAAUUGAAAAUAUUCGAAGUUGAAAAUGCUUUUAAUACAUCCAGCCUAUCAAACAUCAUAGCUUUGCCUAGCCUACCUUUAAGGUGCUCAGAACUCUUACAUUAGCUUAUAAUUAUGGGCAAAGUCAUCAAAUACAAAGCCCACUUAAAAAAUAAAUGUUGACUAUAUUGUGUAAUUUAUUGAACACCAUGCUGAAAGUAAAAAACAGAAUGCUUAUAUGGG
rnacentral:lncRNA from 10 species